rnacentral:lncRNA from 1 species
ACCUUAAGCGGGAUGCGAAUGGGGCAGGGCGAGCGCACGUGGAGCGUGUUUACAAAUAGACGUCAGGGCGUCCGCGUCUUCCAGCGCCGACUCCCGGGAAUCCCCAGCCCACCGGCCGGGACAGGACGAGCCGGAGCAAGGGUCAGGAACCACGCUGGGAGCGGUCAAAUUGGGUUUGGGGUUUCUUUUCCCUGGUGGGAUGAGGUUGCAAGUCACAGUUUCUGUAGAAGCGACUCUGUAAAGCUGGCUGUACCUGGGAGACGCAACAGCCUGUGAGAGGUUCUCUUGUAAAUUUCCUGCCGCCCCUCCACGCCCUCUGCUUCUAGGUGGUAGUAAGGGAAUUGCAGUUUGACAAAGCCCCUUGAUUUCAAGCCAAGGUACAGUACGUUUCUAUUUUGGCAUUUUCACUGGAGCAAAUGCAGGCACCUGUGCACUAAUAAUCGCUGCGAUGAACGUGCCUUCUCCGCGUUCACGGACUCGCUUCCCUGCAGGACCCUCGGAGACUUCCCUGGGGAAGGGAGCGGCUGCACCUUCAUCCUGCAGCACCUGUUUACCCAGGAAACGCUUUUAGUCUAUUUCUUUUGUGUGUGUGUGUAUACUUUGAAAAAAAACGGAAGUCUUCAGUUAAGUUUCUCUGCUGUCUGAACAUAAAUGUCUAACCUUUUUCGUUAACAUGAAACGAAAAGCCCACAUUGUUGCUAGGAUGUUUCCAAUCAUUCUUACUGCAGAAAAGAUGUUGAUUUUACCGUUUCCAUCUGACUUCCUCGCCCAGGCUGCUCAAUUGCCUUCCUCAAAAUCGCUGCUUUCUCCCAUGUGACGUGAUGAAAUCUCCUAGUUAACAUGAUGAAAUCACAGAUGUUUUGGACAAAUGUCUGAUUUACCCGCAGGUAGAUCUUUUCUUCCCGUUCCCCAUAUCAACCAGUCGUUCUUGGUUGACUAUUUUGGAUCAAGUUCAACUUUGUGCUAGUUUUAUAUCACUUUUAGUAGUUUGCCUCUUUUCUCCGAUAGUUGUAAUAAGCGUGAAAACAAUUGUAACCGACUUAGGAGACGCUAUUCAUUCCUCAGAAGGGAAGAGAGCUGACAUUUACUGACUGCCAAUCAAAAGACACAGGGUGUAGCUAGAAGUUAGCUGCCAGGUUUACCCCCUCAGCCGCCAGCCUACCAGGGUCCCUCAGGUCCCAUGAUAUCUAAAUAAAAUGAACUCUGCCUCUUAUCUCUCUCCCCCACUAUCUCUGGGGUUUAAUUUCCAUCCAGACACCACUUGUUUCAUUUCUCCGUUUCUGCUGAUUGCUCCAGCUUGUCGGGUGUCUUAUCUCUUAUAACUGCUCUUUUUUCAUCACCUGGUGUAAGUUGACAUCUGGAACCCAGCCCACAUUUCCUGAUUUUCUCAAAACAUCACUUCCAAGGAGGCACUUGUAUUUAGCAGACUCUUCAUAAGACUUUACCCAAGACACAAGAUCAUUUCAUCAAAUCGACCUUGUUGAGGGAGAAGGGUUGCUAAUUGUAGCAGAUUUACAUUGGAGUUGGGGGCGGGGUUAGAAUGGCUCAGCCUUAUUUUAUGAAGAGCCUGGCUGCCCACAGGCAACUUCUUAUUGCCAGUUCUUUGGGUCCCAGCCUUGCUCCAUCUCACUGUGCCAUCCUCCCCAUCCUCUCUCCAGAGUUUUUCUGUCUUGGGAUCCCCCCUCUUUCCUUCCUUCUCAGCUGCUCGUGAAAUCUUAAGAUUCUUUCCCCCUUUAUUAUGCAGAGCAAUUUCUGUAUCUUUUUCCCAACUGUCUGUUCCGAUUCCCAUGGUCUAGUCUCAAAUUAAAAGACAUUUGAUUUCACUCCUUGUGGAAUUCUGCCACAGUAUUUCUUUCCUUCUGCAUGUAUGUAAUCUCUCUUAAUCCUUCUAAUAGUACUACGAAGUUAAUGUUACCUCUAUCUCACAUACAAGGAUUGAUUCUGCAGAAUUAAAUUUGCCACUUAUUAAAAUGGAAUUUUUGGCAUUAGCCUACCAAAAAGGCAUUCUAGGUGUGAGAGCACUAUUUUUAAGUCUGCAACCGUGUUGAUCAGACAUAGUGUUGGUUUAUUGGAAUGUGGGUUUUCUGAAAACUACUCCAAAUCACCUGAAAGUGGCAUAUGUGUCUCAUCAUCAUAAGCUCUAAAUUUCCUAUUCUGCUGAGAUACUCUCCAUGCGAAUACAUUAUGUGAUCUCAUUUUCAGUGGUAUUCUUUAUGCAUAAUAGUUUUGUAAUAGAAUAGGAAAACUCUAAAUACUUAAUUUUAAAGGAAUCACUUUUUUGCUUUGGGGUUCCAUUUAGUUUAUCAUUGACCCUCAUUUACUUGGAGAUUUUUAUUUGAUACCUAAUUGGCUAGUCCAGUAAGCUUAGGAUGAGGACAUAAUAACAUUCUACUGAUUAAACUGAUUUAAUAUCAAAUAGUGUUUCUCUGUUAAUAAUUGGAAAUUUUACUGCCAUUGGAAAAAUCGGUGGUUUUCACACACACACAAAAAAAUGUACUGCUGCCUAUCUGAAGGGGCAUAAAACAUUGAGGGGAACUUGCAGCUAAAAUGUAAUUGUGGGGUGGUGUGUGUUUUAGGACGAACCCGAUGCACAACAGCUGUCGUGGUAAGAUGAAAGUUUAUACUUGGAAGUCUUUUUUAGCUGUUAAGUCAUUUUACCUUGUGCUAUAGACAAAAAGUAUUCAUUUUUAAUGUAAGAGUUUUUCUUUUAAAUGGUUAAAGGUGGGAACGCUUUUCUGCUUACAUUUCUGGGCACAAGAGAAAUCAGAUUGCUUGUUGGAAAGUCCCAUUUAAAAAAAAAUUUAAAAAGGUUAACACAAUGUUGAAAGAUAAUGAUGACUUAAACUGUUGUGUCAUAUAGAUGCUCAGUGGGGGAUUUUAAACUUAAUUGAGCUUUCUAUAUUUCUUCGUUGGCUGGAGGUGGGCUUUCAGCUGUCUGGCAGCAUAAACAAAGAGAAUAAGGACCUGGGAGGGUGGAAAAGAUUUAAUAGGGUUGGAAGAAGGCAAAUUACCAGCGGGAAUGUUUGAGGAAGAGUUAGACUUCGUGUCUGAAAAACCUGUUGGUUUCAAUGGACGAAACUAAUGAAUUGCUGAUUGGUGUCAGCAGUGUGGGUGGAAAACGUGCAUGAGAUUUAUAUGCUACCCAUCUUUCCUUUCCAGACCUGCUGAGUUUGCAGCCCUUCUCUGAAGGAGCCUGCAGUUCCAUCAGCUGAGUCAACUCAGGUUUACUGAGAGUUCCAGCAUGCUCCCUGUCCCCAGCACUCAAAGCUUCAUGGUUUCAGGCUCCUUGUACUUCUCCUUUCGCCUCAAAGUUUCUCCCCUUCCUCUGUUAUAGCCUUUAAGUUCUAGGUUGUCCUAAAAGUUAUGUUUUUCUUUUUUAUUUUUUUUUCCCCCCUGGCUGUCCCAUGGGCUAUGGAGUUUCCAGGCCAGGGAUCAGCUUUGAGCCACAGCUGUGACAACACCAGAUCAAAGUUGUGUUUUUCAAGGUUCCUCAGACAUUACGGGUGAGAAUCACCUGGGGUCCAAACUCGACUGUCCAGGGAUGAAGCCCAGGAGUCCUUAACGUUCAUGGAGCCUCCCAUGAAAGUGAUUCUAACAUGUGGAAGACUGAAAACCUUAGGCACUGACAACCCUAAAUAAUUUAGGUGCGGCCCUACAUAAAUAAAUAAAUAAAAAGAAAAAAAAAAA